rnacentral:sRNA from 1 species
GGUCCGCGGGGGGGUGGGCUGCGCUCCGGCGCCGCCCCCCCCUCCCGGGCCCCCGCCGGCCGCGCCUUACUCUUAAUUUGCAAAGCGGACUGUACGAUCUGAUUAAUCUUGAUAAACAAGUCAAAACUUUCAACAACGGAUCUCUUGGUUCUGGCAUCGAUGAAGAACGCAGCGAAAUGCGAUAAGUAAUGUGAAUUGCAGAAUUCAGUGAAUCAUCGAAUCUUUGAACGCACAUUGCGCCCGGCAGCAAUCUGUCGGGCAUGCCUGUCCGAGCGUCAUUUCUCCCCUCGAGCGCGGUUGGCCCCUAGCGGGCCGGCCGCCGCCCGGUGUUGGGGCACUGCGGGCCACAGCGCCCGCAGGCCCUCAAAUGAAGUGGCGGUCCCGCCGCGGCGCCCCCUGCGUAGUAGUAAAGCACCUCCCAUCGGGUCCCGGCGAAGACCAGCCGUCGAACCUAUCUCUUGAUGGUUUGACCUCGGAUCAGGUAGGGAUACCCGCUGAACUUAAGCAUAUCAAUAAGCGGAGGAA